rnacentral:rRNA from 1 species
AUUGAACGCUGGCGGCAGGCCUAACACAUGCAAGUCGAAUGGUAACAGGAAGCAGCUUGCUGUUUCGCUGACGAGUGGCGGACGGGUGAGUAAUGUCUGGGAAACUGCCUGAUGGAGGGGGAUAACUACUGGAAACGGUAGCUAAUACCGCAUAACGUCGCAAGACCAAAGAGGGGGACCUUCGGGCCUCUUGCCAUCAGAUGUGCCCAGAUGGGAUUAGCUAGUAGGUGGGGUAACGGCUCACCUAGGCGACGAUCCCUAGCUGGUCUGAGAGGAUGACCAGCCACACUGGAACUGAGGCACGGUCCAGACUCCUACGGGAGGCAGCAGUGGGGAAUAUUGCACAAUGGGCGCAAGCCUGAUGCAGCCAUGCCGCGUGUAUGAAGAAGGCCUUCGGGUUGUAAAGUACUUUCAGCGGGGAGGAAGGGAGUAAAGUUAAUACCUUUGCUCAUUGACGUUACCCGCAGAAGAAGCACCGGCUAACUCCGUG